GACAGAGGGUGCAAACGUUGCUCGGAAUCACUGGGCGUAAAGGGCGCGUAGGCGGGAAUGUAAGUCGGGCGUGAAAUCCCUAGGCUCAACCUAGGAACUGCACUCGAAACUGCGUUUCUUGAGUAUCGGAGAGGAAAGCGGAAUUCCUGGUGUAGAGGUGAAAUUCGUAGAUAUCAGGAGGAACACCGGUGGCGAAGGCGGCAUCCUGGACCGACACUGACGCUGAGGAGCGAAAAGCCAGGGGA
rnacentral:rRNA from 1 species